UGAACGCUGGCGGCAGGCCUAACACAUGCAAGUCGAGCGGUAGAGAGAAGCUUGCUUCUCUUGAGAGCGGCGGACGGGUGAGUAAUGCCUAGGAAUCUGCCUGGUAGUGGGGGAUAACGUUCGGAAACGGACGCUAAUACCGCAUACGUCCUACGGGAGAAAGCAGGGGACCUUCGGGCCUUGCGCUAUCAGAUGAGCCUAGGUCGGAUUAGCUAGUUGGUGGGGUAAUGGCUCACCAAGGCGACGAUCCGUAACUGGUCUGAGAGGAUGAUCAGUCACACUGGAACUGAGACACGGUCCAGACUCCUACGGGAGGCAGCAGUGGGGAAUAUUGGACAAUGGGCGAAAGCCUGAUCCAGCCAUGCCGCGUGUGUGAAGAAGGUCUUCGGAUUGUAAAGCACUUUAAGUUGGGAGGAAGGGCAGUAAAUUAAUACUUUGCUGUUUUGACGUUACCGACAGAAUAAGCACCGGCUAACUCUGU
rnacentral:rRNA from 1 species